CUACGGGGUGCUCCAGUGGGGAAUUUUGGACAAUGGGCGCAAGCCUGAUCCAGCCAUGCCGCGUGCGGGAAGAAGGCCUUCGGGUUGUAAACCGCUUUCGGACGGAAAGAAAUCGCCUGGGCCAAUACCCUGGGUGGAUGACGGUACCGUAAGAAGAAGCACCGGCUAACUACGUGCCAGCAGCCGCGGUAAUACGUAGGGUGCGAGCGUUAAUCGGAAUUACUGGGCGUAAAGCGUGCGCAGGCGGCUUUUUAAGCCAGAGGUGAAAUCCCCGGGCUUAACCUGGGAACUGCAUUUGGAACUGGGAAGCUAGAGUGCGUCAGAGGGGGGUGGAAUUCCACGUGUAGCAGUGAAAUGCGUAGAGAUGUGGAGGAACACCGAUGGCGAAGGCAGCCCCCUGGGAUGACACUGACGCUCAUGCACGAAAGCGUGGGGAGCAAACAGGAUUAGAUACCCGGGUAGUC
rnacentral:rRNA from 1 species